rnacentral:lncRNA from 1 species
GCGCGCUGCUCUGUCUUGCAGCGCUGGGGAAGGAACUCAGGGCCUGGGCCAUGCCAGACAAGUGCUCACCGCUGAGCUGCACCCCAGCCCCUGUGUGUCUGGCACAUCCACAGGCCUGGCAUGGGGCGGCAGAGGGAAGAACCUGGAAAAAAACCUUCUAUGCUGAAAAGCGCAUGCGCCGAACUCCGCGGUCAGUCCCAGCCCCACCACCAUCGUUCUGUCACCUGAAUGAUGUCAUCAUUCUAGGGACCAGAGAAGAUCAGUUGGGAGGGUUGGCUCUUCGGUUGAGGGUCUCUCUGCUAUAUAAUCCAGGAUGGCCUCAUACGCGUGAUCCUCCUGCUUCAGCCUCCCAAUAGCUGUGAUUACAGUUGAAGAAACAGAAGCUCAGAGAUGUGAAGCCACUUGUGUGAGGACACCUAGCUGUGAAGGGGAGGAUCUGGAAUUUGAACUCGUGCUUUUACAUGUCAUAGAUGCUACUUCUCACAGGGGACCGAAGGCAGCCAACUGGCCGAGGGCCUGGCCAUUGAUUUCUGUUCCCUUGGUCUCAGUCUCCCCAUCUGUUCAAGGGAAGAGUUACCGCUGCUCCUUAAAUUCCCUAAACCUGACUCACUGGGCUCUUAAGAUUGUCAGAUGAAAGAAAUACCACUACGGGACACCCGAAAAGUAAAUUUCAAUUUCCCAUAAACAGUGAAUGAUUCUUCAGUGUCCGUAUGCCCCCAAUAUGAAUGAGGUUAAGUACAGUGCAUGAGCCCCCAGUCCCUGCACCCGCUCCCGCCUCCAGACUACAAAUCCCAUAACCCAUUGCAUCAUCCCUUUAGCAACGGGCUAUCAUGAUUAUUUUUACUCUUUUUUCAUUCAUUCAUCCUAAAAUUGUAUGUAGCCCAUCCAUGGGGUGCCAAGAGUUGUGUUUAGGAGUCUGGGAAUACAACAAUACACAAAUCAGAUUAAGAUCUCAGUCUCCAGGGAGUUUAACAUCUAUAAUCCUUGCGAAUUUUAUUUUAUUUUUU